UUAUGCAUUUUUUUGAUUAGUUUUUUUUCCUCUUUGUAUUUCUUCCUGUUAAUGGUGAAUAAACUGAAAGUUGAUUUUUUGAAAUUUUGAUAUUGCAGAUUUAAAAUGCUCGAUUUGCCUAGAGUUCAGGUGGCAAGGAAGCUUUGAUUUUGAUGCCCAAAGUUAGAAAGCCUAAUUAUACCUUUGUAGAGAUACUGCUCUUCGUUUCCUGUUGCAAUACUUACCAGAAUAUGCAAAUCCAAGGUUAUUCUUCUGUGCUCAACAGAGGUUGUGCUGCAGCGAAGUUUAGCCCUUUUAUGUUACGGGAUUUGCUUGCCUGAAGUGUAGUGAAUUUGGGCAAUCCCUGAUAAGUCACCAAAGACUGACAAUG